rnacentral:rRNA from 1 species
AUUGAACGCUGGCGGCAUGCCUUACACAUGCAAGUCGAACGGCAGCACGGGUGCUUGCACCUGGUGGCGAGUGGCGAACGGGUGAGUAAUACAUCGGAACGUACCUUAUCGUGGGGGAUAACGCAGCGAAAGCUGUGCUAAUACCGCAUACGCCCUGAGGGGGAAAGCGGGGGAUCGCAAGACCUCGCGCGAUUAGAGCGGCCGAUGCCUGAUUAGCUUGUUGGUGGGGUAAAAGCCCACCAAGGCGACGAUCAGUAGCUGGUCUGAGAGGACGAUCAGCCAGACUGGGACUGAGACACGGCCCAGACUUCUACGGGAGGCAGCAGUGGGGAAUUUUGGACAAUGGGGGCAACCCUGGUCCAGCAAUGCCGCGUGAGUGAAGAAGGCCUUCGGGUUGUAAAGCACUUUUGUCAGGGAAGAAACACCGGCUCUAACACAGUCCGGGAAUGACGGUACCUGAAGAAUAAGCACCGGCUAACUACGUGCCAGCAGCCGCGGUAA